rnacentral:misc_RNA from 3 species
AACGCACCUUGCGCUCCUUGGUAUUCCGAGGAGCAUGCCUGUUUGAGUGUCAUUAAUAUAAUCAACCUUCUCUUGUUUUGAGAAUGGUUUGGAUGUGGGGGGUUUGCUGGCCUCUCUCAAAAGGUUCAGCUCCCCUGAAAUGCAUUAGCAGAAACAACCUUUGCUCAUUGGUGUGAUAACUAUCUACGCUUAUGAAUAUGAGGGGCAGUUCAGCUUUCUAAUGGUCUUUGGACAAUUCAUCAUUAAUGUGACCUCAAAUCAGGUAGGACUACCCGCUGAACUUAA